UACGUAGGGGGCAAGCGUUGUCCGGAAUUAUUGGGCGUAAAGCGCGCGCAGGCGGUCGAACUAGUCUGGGGGUUAAUCCUGGGGCUCAACCCCGGGUCACCCUGGAAACUGUUCGACUGGAGGACAGAAGAGGAGAGUGGAAUUCCACGUGUAGCGGUGAAAUGCGUAGAGAUGUGGAGGAACACCAGUGGCGAAGGCGACUCUCUGGACUGUGACUGACGCUGAGGCGCGAAAGCGUGGGGAGCAAACAGG
rnacentral:rRNA from 1 species